GACGAACGCUGGCGGCGUGCUUAACACAUGCAAGUCGAGCGGAGCGGCGAACGGGGGAGUAACGCGUGAGUAACUGCCCCCCUCCUUGGGAUAAAAGUUGGAAACGGCUGCUACUACAGGAUAGUGGGGGAUGACUCUAGUCUUAUCAGCUUGUUGGUGGGGUAGUGGCCUACCAAGGCGACGACGGGUAGCCGGCCUGAGAGGGCGACCGGCCACAUUGGGCUGAGGUACGGCCCAAACUCCUACGGGAGGCAGCAGUGGGGAAUAUUGCACAAUGGGGGAAACCCUGAUGCAGCAACGCGCGUGCGGGAUGACGGCCUUCGGGUUGUAAUCCGCUUUCAGCCAUGACGCGGUAGUGGCAGAAGAAGCACCGGCUAACUACGUGCCAGCAGCCGCGGUAAUUC
rnacentral:rRNA from 1 species